UCGAACGGGGUAGCAAUACCUAGUGGCAGACGGGUGAGUAACACGUGGUCGACCUACCUCUGUGUGGGGGAUAACUAGCCGAAAGGUUAGCUAAUACCGCAUACGAUCGCUUCGGGGCAUCUCGAGGCGAUGAAAGGAGCAAUCCGCACGGAGAGGGGACUGCGUCCCAUUAGUUAGUUGGUGGGGUAACGGCCUACCAAGACUCCGAUGGGUAGCUGGCUUGAGAGAGCGACCAGCCACACUGGAACUGAGAGACGGUCCAGACUCCUACGGGAGGCAGCAGUGAGGAAUUUUCCGCAAUGGGCGAAAGCCUGACGGAGCGACGCCGCGUGUGGGAAGAAGGCCUUCGGGACGUAAACUCCUUUCGACCGGGACGAUAAUGACGGUACCGGUGGAAGAAGCACCGGCUAACUCUGUG
rnacentral:rRNA from 1 species